GAUGAACGCUAGCUACAGGCUUAACACAUGCCAGUCGCGGGGCAGCAUGGGGGUUGCUUGCCAUCCCCGAUGGCGACCGGCGCACGGGUGAGUAACGCGUAUCCAACCUGCCCUUCACCACGGGAUAACCCGGCGAAAGUCGGACUAAUACCGUAUGUUGUCCAUUGACGGCAUCCGAUUUGGACGAAAGGCUUGGCGGUGAGGGAUGGGGAUGCGUCCGAUUAGCCAGACGGCGGGGUAACGGCCCACCGUGGCUACGAUCGGUAGGGGUUCUGAGAGGAAGGUCCCCCACACUGGAACUGAGACACGGUCCAGACUCCUACGGGAGGCAGCAGUGAGGAAUAUUGGUCAAUGGGCGUAAGCCUGAACCAGCCAAGUAGCGUGCAGGAUGACGGCCCUAUGGGUUGUAAACUGCUUUUAUGCGGGGAUAAAGUGGCCCACGUGUGGGCUUUUGCAGGUACCGCAUGAAUAAGGACCGGCUAAUUCCGUG
rnacentral:rRNA from 1 species